rnacentral:rRNA from 1 species
CGACGGAUGCCUUGGCAGUAGAAGGCGAUGAAGGACGUGAUAAUCUGCGAUAAGCUUCGGUUAGCUGAUAAUAAGCUCUAACCCGGAGAUCUCCGAAUGGGAAAACCCAGUGAUCAUAAGAUCAUUAUCCUUAACUGAAUACAUAGGUUAAGGAGGCAAACCUAGGGAACUGAAACAUCUAAGUACCUCGAGGAAAAGAAAUCAAAAGAGAUUCUGCUAGUAGCGGCGAGCGAACGCAGAUUAGGCCAAACCAUCAUGCGUGCAUGGUGGGGUUGUAGGACCUGCAUCAAGGGGAAGUUGCUAGAAGAAGUGUCUGGGAAGUCACACCAUAGAGAGUGAAAGUCUCGUAUUCGAAAGCGAUGGAACUGGGCGGGUAUCCUGAGUAGGACGGGGCACGUGGAACCCUGUCUGAAUCUGGGAAGACCACUUUCCAAGCCUAAAUACUACCUACUGACCGAUAGCGUACAAGUACCGUGAGGGAAAGAUGCAAAGAAG